rnacentral:lncRNA from 1 species
UCCAGGAUGAUCUGGUGGAUGGUGGGUACCGCGGUAUACCACGUGGCGUUGUACGAGAGCAUGUCAGCCCAAAAUGUGGAGGCGGAGAAUCGGCCCGCCGCUGGAAGAGUCACGGCGGCUCCGGCGACGAGUGAACUCAGUAACCCGGCGAUUAACCCGUGCACGUGGAACAGAGGGAGGACGAUGACGGUCGAGUCAGACUCUGUGAGUUUGUAGACCGAUUUGAUGUUCUGGACCGACGAGGCCAAAUUGAGCUGGGUCAAGGGGACUCCCUUGGGUCGGCUCGUGGUGCCAGACGUGUGGAGGAAGAGUGCCACGUCGGAAGCGUCGUUGACGAGUUGCAAGACCGAGUCGGGGCUCGACUCGGCGGUGGAAGAGAGAGUCACGUGGCUGGUGGCGCCGGCCAGCUUGGCGGUCACGUGAGGGAUGUUGAGCUUGGUGGCCGCCGCUUUAGCCGCUAGAAUCGGAUUCUCCGGCGUGAUCAGAAGCUUCGAUUCUGAGUCGGAGAGGUAGAACUCGAACUCCUCAGCCGUGUAAGCCGCGUUCAGCGGCACCGCCGUUGCUCGGCACCGAAUCACCGCCAAAAACAGCACGACAAGCUACAGAAACAAACACAAUCUUAUUUAAUUUUUUUUAUAUGAAAAACUUGUUUGGUUCCGGAGAAAGUUGAGGAAAGUGAAUGGAAAAGAAAAUGUUGCAAUACAAUACCUCAACGGUGUUGGGGAAGGUGAGCGCGACGGUGUCGUUUGGGCCAAUUCCGGAGGCGAUUAAGAGAGAGGCGGCGUGAUCGACGAGCUCCUGCAGUCGCGCGUGGGUCAAAUCGAAUUUUCCAGAAACGGAAAGCGCGCGGUGGUUCGGAAAUUCCGAGGCCACCUUCUUCAACAAACCUGUUAGAGUUUGAUUUUCCAUUUU